rnacentral:sRNA from 1 species
GCCAGGCAUGGUGGCGCCCACCUGUAAUCCCAGCAGCUCAGGAGGCUGAGGCAGGAGGAUUGAAAGUUCAAAGCCAGCCUCAGCAAUUUAUCGAGGCCCUAAGCAAUUUAGCAAGACCUUGUCUCAA